CAGCCGUAAACUAUGCUCGCUAGGUGUCAGGCAUGGCGCGACCGUGUCUGGUGCCGCAGGGAAGCCGUGAAGCGAGCCACCUGGGAAGUACGGCCGCAAGGCUGAAACUUAAAGGAAUUGGCGGGGGAGCACAACAACGGGUGGAGCCUGCGGUUUAAUUGGACUCAACGCCGGACAACUCACCGGGGACGACAGCAAUAUGUAGGCCAGGCUGAAGACCUUGCCUGAAUCGCUGAGAGGAGGUGCAUGGCGUAGACG
rnacentral:rRNA from 1 species